rnacentral:lncRNA from 1 species
GUAUGAACUCCACUGAGCCCACUGUCGUAAUAAAGGUUUUUCUCCACCUCUUCAAGUGACCAUCAGAUGCUCGAGUCUUCAAAUUGCAAUAGCUGUGAUGCUGAGCUGUGACACUCUGCUGUAACACUGAGCUCUAACACUUGGCUGUGCCUCAGAGCUGUAACACUUGGCUAUAGCACUGAGCUGUUCUGCUUUGCCACAACACCCAGAGCACUGGGAUUACAGGUGUAGCCCACAUUAGCUCAGAGGGAAUGUUGUAUAUUUUUGGGGGGUACCAGGGUUUGAACUCAGGACCUUGUGCUUGUGAGGCAGGCGGUGGAACCACUGAGCUAAAUCCCCAGCCUGGGAAUGUUGUAUUAAAUCAUCACUGCCAGACCAUCAGUUUUCUCUCUGAAGAUACACACCAGGUCAUGGAGCAGAAGCGGUAAACUCACAGAGGUGCUGAAUGACCAACAAGUGACAAGAACCUGUUGAUGUGAGGUAAGAGAUGACCCUGUGAUUCAAACUGCUUCAAUCUGAAAGAUCCACUGGUCCCUGAUUACCCAGGAGGGCUGGCUCUGUGUUUAAAGAGAGACCUUUCCUCCCUAUAGCUCAUGUAUCCUGAUGACAAGCUCAACCGUGGAGAUAACCUCCCUGUGGUUUUUGUUGUCCAGUGAAGUUUAAAUUUGCUCCUCUACAUAAUGGGAGAUGUAAUAGAAGCCUUCCUAGGGCCGGGGAUUUAGCUCAGUGGUUCCACUGCUUGCCUCGCAAGCACAAGGUACCGAGUUCGAUCCCCAGUACCAAAAAAAAAAGAAAGAAAAAGAAGAAGCCUUUCUAAAAGUGUUGCAAAUUCAUUGAAAAACCACAAGCCGGCACACAUUCUCUGGGGGUUAUCUGGAAGUUACCUGCCGUGAUAGUGACUGUGGAUAGUGUGAUGGGGAGGAGAGAGGGCAUUUAAAACAGAAAGCCGGCAGUCUGAAGGAGGUGGCAGUGUGUCCCGGCAGUUCAGUCCCCCACGUCACUGUGGGGGGCUUUGCAACAGCUGAGGUGUGUGUUGGGAGAGGUUGUCCACUAGAACUUUGCACCGGUCAGAGCAAGGGGAUGAGAACUGAGACUAUGAGAUGAGAAACCCUAAGAGCGUAGUUCUCAAAGCCUUUGGUUGCAAGAUCCUGCAUUCUCCUAAACAUUAAGAAUUCCCCAAGAACUUUUGUUUUUGUGGUUAAAUCUACUGAUAUUUAUCAUAAUAGAGAUUCACAUUAAGAAAUAGUUAACUCAUGAAGUCACUUAAAAAUAAUGCUAAACGCAUUUAGGUUGACAUAAAUAUUUUUAUUUGAAAAUUACUGUAUUUUCUAAGAAUGUCAGUGAGGACAGUGAUUUUUGUUUUACAUAUUUACAAAUCUCUUUUAAUGGCUAGUGUAAUAGAUAACAAGUGGGUUUUCAAUCUGCUUUUGUUCUUUUGUUUUGUUUUUGGUACUGGGGAUCAAACUCUGGUCCUUGCGCUUACAGGGCAGGCGGCGGAACCACUGAGCUAAAUCCCCAGCCCUCAAUCUGCUUUUGCAGUCCAUUGUUACAUGCUGUUACCUGUUACGUGUUUUGGUUGAAAGAUUUAAGGAAAUUAUGGACUCAUGCUGAUUUGUAGUUGGAAAAAUUAGAAAUUUAUAGACCUCCCCGUGCAUGCUUCCUGCAGCACACAUACUAUAGAUCCCCUGAUGGGCUUCAAGGAUCCAAGAAGUCCUUCGAUAAAGCUUUGAAAAUUACUGUUUCAGAGUUCACUUAAUCAUAUUUACAAAAAAAUCUAUAACUAUGUGCAGUGAGAUUCUGAUAUUAACUUCCUAUUUUUUAAUAAGGACUUUCUUAGGCAGAUACAGCUGUGGAAAUGGAUGGCUCUGGACCAGCCUAGCCCUCUCUCUCUCUCUUUAAAUUCUGAGACAAGAUCUCACUUAGUCACUAAGUUGCCCAGGCUGGACCUAAACUUGUGAUCCUCCUACCUCAGCCUCGAAGAAUGCUGGGAUUACAGUAUGUCCGGAAUCUUCCGAUCAGCACCUGUCUGGGUUGCUAUGUAUGUAUCCACGUUGACAGUUCAUGUACUGCAGUGUAUUUAUCACCUCCCUUUCGAAUUGAACUGAGAACUCUAAGCGCCUGAUUUAAACCAUCAGCUGGAGAGCUUGCUGAGGCAGGCACAGCUGAAAGGCUUGGGCUCUGUGGUUGCCGAGCAAGACCUGAGCAGUCAGUCGCCCCUUGAACUGUAGGGCUCUGCACCUUGCUUCCCUAUGCUCACCACUUGUGGUAUUUGGAACUGGAUAGAGCCAGAAAUUCCAAAAAGAAGCCACCUCAGCAAAAUCAACAAUCUGUUUUUCCUUGAAAAUUCAAAGACGCACUAGACAAAUGAGUCCCUCUGAAAAGCUGUCCUUUUGUAAAGGAAAAUGAUAUCUACAAAGAAAAAUGAUCACCAGACAAGGUACCGGGAAGAGAGGCUUCAGACAACUUCUACAGCCUGAAAGCCUUUCAUCUACAAAAAGCAAACUGCUUUAUCCACCGUCCAUUUCCUUCUCUCCCUCUUAUAAUUUGUCUCCAUCUGCCCCAGAAGCCCGGUGCUCUUCCUGCCCUCAGGAUGCUCUAUAAACCUCGGUCAUGGGACCUUUCUGUGUGUCUCAUACUUUGGUGGGAUUUCCAUGUGUGAGAAAGCAGUUACAAUGGUUUCUCUCCUAUGUCAGUUUAAACUGUAGCCAAAGACGCCAGGAGGGCAGAGAGAAGCCAAGGGUCCCUCUCCCCAAAGGCAAGGCGAUGGGGUGGGAACUUGGAGGGGCCAGAGGAAGGGCAGAGAACCUAGUGGGAGACACUGACCCCUGGCCCCAGACAGAGCCAAGCCUCCGAGGGACGAAGGCCACCUCCCGGUUUCCUGUGCAAGGUGCUAACUACAUGGGGAAGGUCACCACUUACCGGUCUGUGGGAGAGAAUCUAGGUCCGCAAGUUUGGUCUGGGUGAGGACGGGGAACUUGGACCACAGCAGAGUACAGCGAUGUACUGUAGCUGGCCCGGCCAUUGUACUUCUGUCUCCUAGAAGCCUAUAGCCACCUGAAGGAAGGUGAAGUGCUCUGUGGCUGCACAGCAUGAGCACCACUUCCUCUGAGACCCCAGUCAGGAGAGAGGUUCCACACAUCCCUGGGGGGAGCUCUUCCUGGAGCUGGGCAGAAAGGACAACAAACACGUUUCCACCAAGUAUCCAACGCCAUCAUAACCCCCUGACCACAUGGCCACAGGCGGCAAGUGUAGGCCACUCAGGAGCAUGGGGAGGACAGUGUGAGGGUUCCCAUGACCUCAGCCUGAUGCUGUCCACACUGGAGAAACAGCUCCCUCCGCUAAGUGAGCCCAGGCACCUGCUUUCUGGUACUGGAGGAACAGCUCUGGAGGCAUGCAAGGGAACAUGCUUCCAGAGCAGAUCUGCCGCUGGGCAUCUGACUGUCCCUGAACUACAGGGAGUCCAGAGGAACAGUGACGGUGAGGACAAGAACGAGGGGUCAGCAGCAGCUCCACUCCUGUUGUUCUUCACAGUUUACAGCUGGAGGGCACUCUUGGGCAUCCCCCUCCCUGCUGUGGCAUCUCCAACUCCUGCUUUUUCUCUUGUGAAAGUGGAGGCCGUUCUUGGCAAGUCUCUUUCUUUCUAGCUGAUAUUCUAGAGUCAACUUUGACGAUGCCUCUUCCUUCUCUUGCUUCAGCAAGCACAUUGUCUGCUUCCCCAUUGACAAAUCUCCAUCCGGCUCCUUCCCCCCUGCUGUGCCCACUAAACACACCAGGUUAGGAGUGAAGGGUGCAAGGAAAUGUGAGAUUCAGUCCCUGUGAUCAGGAUGUCACUGUGAGCUAACCAAUAUGUCAGGAUGGAAGGACCUCCACUAUUUUGGUAAAAUAGACUCAGUGUGUUGGUUGGAAAGUUUCGUUUCGGCUUGAUUUGAUUUGAUUUUUCCAUGAUCAACACUUUGAUGAGAUACUGCUCUUCUCAAACCUUUCUUUAACCACCAAAGACUCCCCCAAAAUCUCUGAUGUACACUUACAUACAAUAUCUUAGGUGCCCGGCUAAGGGCUUCAUAACAACGGGCUCCUGGGCUGAGGUGUAGCUCAGUGGUAGAGCACUUGCAGAGCGUGUAUGAGGCCUUGAGUUUGAUCUGUAGACACACACACACACACACAAAUAAUAAUAGUUCUUAUGAUAAAUACAGCUGAUAAAAUUUCCAGAAUGUUCUAAAUUUAAUCGCAAAGACCACAGGGUGGUAGUGGGUUAGUCAGCUAACAGCUGCUGGCAAAACCAACAAGAAGACUGCUUAUGUUUGAAUGGGAUUUAUGAUUUAAACACCAGGGCUUUAUUGCUGUACACAUAAACUCUCUGGACCAUUGAUACCAACCAAUCCAAGAGCAACAAGAAGAACUACUUCUCCUUCUCCUUCUCCUUCUUCUCCUCCUCCUCCUUCUUCUUUUCUUUGUUUUAGCUUUGGAGCUGGGGAUUGAACCCAGCAAGCUCACACAUGCUAAGUGCGUGUUCUACCCCGAGCUCCACCCGAGCCUGCUUGUCCUCAGUCCUCCUGUCCCUCCUGUGCCUGCUGCACCUGAUCCACCCCUCCUAUCUAGAAUCAGUGCAGGUUACUCUGUAGGAAGUGCUUUCCUUCUCCCAAGUUUAUUAAAAAUGCUCUGAGUUCUGGCCUGGUGACAUUUUCCAACUGCCACCUGGCCCUGCUGCUGGUAAUUGUGGAAACUCGUCCCAGGACCUGGUGCCUUUUCUGCCUAACAUCUCUAAUGGCUCAAGAAACUCUUUCAUUUCAGAGAUCCUUUGGUCUCUAGAGUUUCAACCUCACAUAUAAUUUUGAUAUGAUGUACAUUUCCUUAGCCAGGUGUGGUGGUGCACACCUGUAAUCCCAGCACCGCAGGAGGCUGAGGCAGGAGGAUUGUGAGUUUGAGCUCUAUGUGAGUAAUUUAGUGACUUAGUGAGACCCUAUCUCAAAAUAAGAAGUAAGCCCUUUAGCUGAGGAUGUAGCACAGUGUGAAGACCCUGGGUUCAGUCUUCAGUACUGGAAAAAAAAAGUCACUUCAUUGGCGCUGGGGGUGUAGCUCUGUGGUAGAGAGAUUGCAUAGUGUACUGGAGGCCAUGGGUUCCAUUCCCAGUACCUCAGUCAAUCAACCAAUCAAUCAAUCAGUCAAUCAGUAAGUCACCUCAUUAACAUAAUCUCUUCUCCUUAAGGGGACUUGUCAUAAACAGCAAAGACAGUCUUUACACCUUGUCACUCUGUGGCUUUCACGUUUAUCACACCUGCAAAAUCACCGAGGUUUUAGGGCCUCUGUACCAGUUAUCCUGGAAGGGGACCAAGAUAUGCAUUUCUCAGUGCAUCAGUCUCACACACUUCCCCCAAGUCACUACCACGACCAUGCCCCUGCACACGGAGGAGGUCCACAGAAGUGAUGCAAACUCACGACAUUUAAGCAGGAAACCAGAAUGGAGAGGUGGGUGGAUCCCUGCUGCCACCUCUUAGGCUGUGGACCACUCC